rnacentral:rRNA from 1 species
CCUACGGGUGACAGCAGGGAGGAAUAUUGGUCCAUGGGCGUAAGCCUGAACCAGCCAAGUCGCGUGAGGGAUGAAGGUUCUAUGGAUCGUAAACCUCUUUUAUAAGGGAAUAAAGUGUGGGACGUGUCCUGUUUUGUAUGUACCUUAUGAAUAAGGAUCGGCUAACUCCGUUCCAGCAGCCGCGGUAAUACGGAGGAUCCGAGCGUUAUCCGGAUUUAUUGGGUUUAAAGGGUGCGUAGGCGGCCUUUUAAGUCAGCGGUGAAAGUCUGUGGCUCAACCAUAGAAUUGCCGUUGAAACUGGGAGGCUUGAGUAUGUUUGAGGCAGGCGGAAUGCGUGGUGUAGCGGUGAAAUGCUUAGAUAUCACGCAGAACCCCGAUUGCGAAGGCAGCCUGCCAAGCCAUGACUGACGCUGAUGCACGAAAGCGUGGGGAUCAAACAGGAUUAGAUACCCGUGUAGUC